AUUGUACUCCCUCCGUUCGGAAUUACUUGUCUUGGAAGUGGAUGUAUCUAGAACUAAAAUACGUCUAGAUAUAUCCAUUUCUGCGACAAGUAAUUCCGAACAGAGGGAGUAUCUC
rfam:Triticum aestivum genome assembly, contig: Triticum_aestivum_CS42_TGACv1_scaffold_177143_2DS